ACACAUGCAGUCGAGCGGUAGCACAGAGAGCUUGCUCUCGGGUGACGAGCGGCGGACGGGUGAGUAAUGUCUGGGAAACUGCCUGAUGGAGGGGGAUAACUACUGGAAACGGUAGCUAAUACCGCAUAACGUCGCAAGACCAAAGUGGGGGACCUUCGGGCCUCAUGCCAUCAGAUGUGCCCAGAUGGGAUUAGCUGGUAGGUGGGGUAACGGCUCACCUAGGCGACGAUCCCUAGCUGGUCUGAGAGGAUGACCAGCCACACUGGAACUGAGACACGGUCCAGACUCCUACGGGAGGCAGCAGUGGGGAAUAUUGCACAAUGGGCGCAAGCCUGAUGCAGCCAUGCCGCGUGUGUGAAGAAGGCCUUCGGGUUGUAAAGCACUUUCAGCGGGGAGGAAGGCGGUGAGGUUAAUAACCUCACCGAUUGACGUUACCCGCAGAAGAAGCACCGGCUAACUCCGUGCCAGCAGCCGCGGUAAUACGGAGGGUGCAAGCGUUAAUCGGAAUUACUGGGCGUAAAGCGCACGCAGGCGGUCUGUCAAGUCGGAUGUGAAAUCCCCGGGCUCAACCUGGGAACUGCAUUCGAAACUGGCAGGCUAGAGUCUUGUAGAGGGGGGUAGAAUUCCAGGUGUAGCGGUGAAAUGCGUAGAGAUCUGGAGGAAUACCGGUGGCGAAGGCGGCCCCCUGGACAAAGACUGACGCUCAGGUGCGAAAGCGUGGGGAGCAAACAGGAUUAGAUACCCUGGUAGUCCACGCUGUAAACGAUGUCGAUUUGGAGGUUGUGCCCUUGAGGCGUGGCUUCCGGAGCUAACGCGUUAAAUCGACCGCCUGGGGAGUACGGCCGCAAGGUUAAAACUCAAAUGAAUUGACGGGGGCCCGCACAAGCGGUGGAGCAUGUGGUUUAAUUCGAUGCAACGCGAAGAACCUUACCUGGUCUUGACAUCCACAGAACUUUCCAGAGAUGGAUUGGUGCCUUCGGGAACUGUGAGACAGGUGCUGCAUGGCUGUCGUCAGCUCGUGUUGUGAAAUGUUGGGUUAAGUCCCGCAACGAGCGCAACCCUUAUCCUUUGUUGCCAGCGGUUAGGCCGGGAACUCAAAGGAGACUGCCAGUGAUAAACUGGAGGAAGGUGGGGAUGACGUCAAGUCAUCAUGGCCCUUACGACCAGGGCUACACACGUGCUACAAUGGCAUAUACAAAGAGAAGCGACCUCGCGAGAGCAAGCGGACCUCAUAAAGUAUGUCGUAGUCCGGAUUGGAGUCUGCAACUCGACUCCAUGAAGUCGGAAUCGCUAGUAAUCGUAGAUCAGAAUGCUACGGUGAAUACGUUCCCGGGCCUUGUACACACCGCCCGUCACACCAUGGGAGUGGGUUGCAAAAGAAGUAGGUAGCUUAACCUUCGGGAGGGCGCU
rnacentral:rRNA from 1 species